UACGGAGGGUGCAAGCGUUAUCCGGAAUCAUUGGGUUUAAAGGGUCCGCAGGCGGACUUAUAAGUCAGUGGUGAAAUCCAGUAGCUUAACUACUGAACUGCCAUUGAUACUGUAAGUCUUGAAUUCGGUCGAAGUGGGCGGAAUAUGUCAUGUAGCGGUGAAAUGCUUAGAUAUGACAUAGAACACCGAUAGCGAAGGCA
rnacentral:rRNA from 1 species